rnacentral:tRNA from 3 species
GGAGAGGUGCCAGAGUCCGGCCGAUCGGGCCUCCCUGCUAAGGAGGUGGCGGGUAACACCGCCCGUGGGUUCGAAUCCCACCCUCUCCG